rnacentral:sRNA from 1 species
UUGCGUUAGGGAUUGAUGCGGCAUCCUUUUUGUAAAGAUAAAAGUGCUUUAAGUUUGGUUGAAACUGGUGUUUAAAAAAAGUAAGUAGUUUUAAAUACAGAAAGGCGUUUGCAAAAAGAUAUAGCGGAAAGCCCGACCCUUG